rnacentral:rRNA from 2 species
CUACUCUUGACAUCCAGAGAACUUUCCAGAGAUGGAUUGGUGCCUUCGGGAACUCUGAGACAGGUGCUGCAUGGCUGUCGUCAGCUCGUGUUGUGAAAUGUUGGGUUAAGUCCCGCAACGAGCGCAACCCUUAUCCUUGUUUGCCAGCGAGUAAUGUCGGGAACUCCAGGGAGACUGCCGGUGAUAAACCGGAGGAAGGUGGGGACGACGUCAAGUCAUCAUGGCCCUUACGAGUAGGGCUACACACGUGCUACAAUGGCGCAUACAGAGGGCAGCCAACUUGCGAAAGUGAGCGAAUCCCAAAAAGUGCGUCGUAGUCCGGAUUGGAGUCUGCAACUCGACUCCAUGAAGUCGGAAUCGCUAGUAAUCGUGGAUCAGAAUGCCACGGUGAAUACGUUCCC